CUAGAAAUGGCAGAAGGAAGAAACCAGGAAUAGAAUCAAUCGUUAUUUAUUUCACUUCUUCAUAUUUUGAUCGAGUUCAUAACUAUCACUAUAUAAAUUUAUAUAUUACUUAGCAGAAAUUCGUAUCUUCCAAAACUAGCAAACUGAGUUGUUCGUAAUGAGCAAAUUGAGGUGGCUCGGCCUGUGUCGGCGGCAUUUUCUGUCGUCCAUGGUUGUGGAGCCGCGUACUGAACUAGGAAUUUGGCUCGGAAAAUAUGCCUCCUUGCCCCACAGUUUGUUUCGCAGUCGAGCUCUGCACUAUUGUGGUUCUGCGUUUGCGGGAACUGUGGGUUUGGGUUCUUCAUUUCGGAAGCGUUAUUUUCACGCCUCAGGGUUCUAUUGCUCCCCAGAACGAGACUACUACGAAAUUCUGGGUGUUCCUCAAAAUGCAAGUCGGGAUGAGAUAAAAAAGGCUUUUCAUGCACUUGCGAAGAAAUACCAUCCAGAUGCCAAUAAAAACAAUCCUUCUGCUAAGAAAAAAUUUCAAGAGAUAAGAGACGCUUAUGAGACUCUGCAAGAUUCAGAGAAGAGGGAAAAAUAUGACUGGAUGCGCACAAAGGGCUCAAAAAAUAUGGAAGAUGCUGGUAAUACUGAGGGGUUUCGAUACAGUUAUCAGACUAAUUUCUCUAGUUCAUUCCAUAAAGUAUUCUCCGAGAUCUUUGAACACAAUAUUGAUCGUUUUGCAUCUGAUAUUCAGGUGGAGUUAUCACUCUCUUUUCUAGAAGCUGCUAAGGGAUGCAUAAGACAUCUCUCUGUUGAUGCUUAUGUUCCCUGUGAUAUUUGCUAUGGGCAAGGUUAUGCUGUUGAUGCCAAGACAAAAGUUUGUCCGACUUGCAGAGGUAUUGGGAGAGUAACCAUUCCUCCGUUUUCAUCCACUUGUAAUACUUGCAAAGGAUCAGGCCGAGUAAUAAAGGAGUAUUGUGUGUCAUGCCAAGGAUCAGGUGUAGUUGAAGGUGUUAGAGAGGUUAAAGUUACAAUACCUGCAGGUGUAGAUUCUGGAGAUACAAUACGUGUACCAGGGGCUGGAAAUACGGGUGGACAAGGAAGUGAACCUGGUACCUUAUAUAUUAAACUGAAGGUUGCCAAAGAUCCUAUAUUUGCUAGAGACGGAGCAGAUGUUUAUGUGGACUCUAAUAUCAGCUUUACACAGGCAAUCCUUGGUGGUAAGGUUGAGGUGCCUACUUUGUCUGGGAAGACACAAGUCAAUAUACCUAUGGGAGUUCAGCCUGGACAACUUCUAGUACUAAGAGGCAAAGGACUUCCAAAGCCUGGUCUUCUUAUUAACCACCAUGGAGAUCAAUAUGUGCGCUUUUGUAUCAAAUUUCCCAUUGAAUUAAAUGAACGGCAACGUGCUCUUUUAGAGGAAUUUGCAAAGGAGGAAAUAAAUCAUGGAGAUAACAGUUUGAAUGAGGGAAACUGGUUGCAGAAGUUUUUUGAACAUUUGGCGGGUCCUAAGUUUGUGCUUGAACUAUCUAUGUUCGUAUUGAUUAUUUUCUUCCUGAGCAAAACUGUGGGAUGAAAGCAGUUCUAACGGAGACUUCUGGGGCCAAUGGUCAAUGAAAGAAGGAUUGCUUCAUGUUCAUACUUCAGAAUUGUACUGACACAAGGGUCCAUUGUCAGAAGUAUUGCAUUUGUCCCAGUGUCUGGGAGAGGCAAAGGAUGCUUGGAAGAAUUUUUAGUCGAAUCAUUAUUUUGCUCGAAAGCAUAUUGAUUUUUCAGGUAGGUCACAGAUUAAGAUCUAGUAAAUAAUAGAUGAUAAAUGCAGGCUGGGAGUGAUUUGAUAAAGAGAUCUCAGGGGUCGUUUAAAUUCUAGAGUCGUUUCUUUUUAAGGAGAAAUAGACCAUAUGUAUAUUCAAUUUUUGUAGCGGCCAAUACAGUUUCACAGUAAACCAUUUUGGAAGCUCGAGAAAUCCAUGUCAACCAUUUCCAAACUCAGUGUUCACUUUUAUAUAUAGUGCUGCAAAAUUUGUGUCACCAUAUAAAAA